UAAUGCUGCCACCCCUGGGGCCUUGGCACUAACACUCCUGGAGAGGGAGCAAAGGUUACCAAAUGAAGCCUCUGGGGAAAAGGGGGAAAUUCCCUACUUUCAUAAUAUGUAAAUAGGGCACAAAAUGGAGUCUCCCAGCCAGUACCUGAAGUGGUACCUCCUGCUUAGGAAUCCCAGUGACCACUCCCCAGUGAUGCAUUUUGGAGGGUCACUAGAAGAGCCUACAAAUGGGAUGCAACCUUCCAAAAUUAUUAUGCUGAUACAGCUCUGCAGGAUGAAAAGGGCAUCAACACUGACUAGUGCACAAGAGUUUCAGAGGAAUGGGGUAAGGUGAGACUCAAAUCCUUCCUAUUAGCAAUUAAAUAAUCCCUUAGGCUUCUAGGGCAGAACAGCCUCCUCAGCCAGCUCUCCUGCUUGCAACAGUUAGUUUCUGUGACUCAGCAGGUGUUGGGAGAUCUGCUGAGCUCUGUAAUGAUAAGGAUGCUGAAACAAGCCAGGUUGCUCAUGGCAAAACCCACUAAUUAUUGAUUAGGACAUUUACCAGUGAAAUUUAAAUAGGCUUCAUUUGUGAGAAGCCAUUUUACUGAACCUGAAAGAAAAAGAGGUGGAUGACACCAACCAUGAUAAAGUUUAAAAGGGGAGCUAUGAUAAUAAGGAGUGUCCAUGUUUUAUUAUUUAUUAGUCACAUUUACAUCCCAGCAGUGGAUCUCUUCCUCCCUGCUUUAUUUUCACAGUGACCCCGUCAGGCAGGCUGAGAGAAUGAACACCUAAAGCCACCCAAUGAGUUUUGUGGUCACUGGGGAGGUAAACCUGGAUCUCCUAAUUCCCAAUCCUACACUGUGACCACUACCCUACACUUACUAGGGUGGGUAGGAACCAACAUGUACAGUGGGGUCUCUACUUAAGAUGGUGGGUAGGAACCAACAUGUAUAGGGCAGAAGCAUAUCAGAAGGAAGAGUAUUUAUUUACUUGGUAGCAUAUCUCCAGUCUUCCCACUGACUGAGUCUACAAGGUCGCUAUGUAAAAUCCACUACCUGGAUUAAUAGGAGACUGAAAGUUCUCCUUUGCACUGGUCCCCACAUAUCUGCUCCUGUCAGAAGAAGCCUGGAGGAGUUUUUGCCCUUUUCUUAAAGAGAGGAGUUGCAUCAGUUACCCUGCAAACAUUGUCAUUGUGACUUUAAUUAAAGUAAUCUCAUUUGCAUGACAGGAAAAUAAAACAACUUAUUGAUCCGUUUUUGCA
rnacentral:lncRNA from 1 species